CGUCGAGCGGUACGUAGGCGGCGCCGGCGCGGAGCACGCCGAGCAGUGCCGAGGCGAGUUCGGCGGACUGUUCGAGGCAGACACCGACGA
rnacentral:tRNA from 1 species